rnacentral:lncRNA from 1 species
UAGUGUUAGCACUCAUUACAGGUGAUCCUCAAGCAAGAAAACAUUUCUCAGGUUGGGAGACAUCACAGAGAGAGAGGAGUAGCAGGAUUUCUGAGGAAUAUUAACUGAAGAGCACCAUUUCAGGUGGUUCCACAUUCGCAUGUCCCCUCCUGUACCACCUACCCAUGAAAAAUCUUUGAGAAAUUCCACAAGCCUCGUGAAUAUUCUACAACUAGAAUAUGACACGUCAGAGGGGUGCUGGCAACACACACACUACUCCCUGCAUCCCUGAGCCUUACAGUGAUCUCGGGGGGAGGCUGGGAGGCGGGCUUCUGAGUUGACGUGGGCAUGAGAAUUCUAACUUUCAAACAUAACAGUUAUUUUCCAAUCUGAUGUUGCCCUGAGUAGCCUGGUAA